CUAAAGCUUAUUGAAAUUAUCAACAUCUUCUGAAUGCAACUCAGAUACUUUAAUUAAGCUAAAACUUC
rnacentral:tRNA from 1 species